UACGGGAGGCAGCAGUGGGGAAUAUCGGACAAUGGGCGCAAGCCUGAUCCAGCAAUACCGCGUGUGUGAAGAAGGCCUUCGGGUUGUAAAGCACUUUCAAUUGGGAGGAAAACCUGCCGGUCAAUACCCGGUAGCUUGACAUUACCUUUAGAAGAAGCACCGGCUAACUCCGUGCCAGCAGCCGCGGUAAUACGGAGGGUGCGAGCGUUAAUCGGAGUUACUGGGCGUAAAGCGUGCGUAGGCGGUUCGUUAAGUCAGAUGUGAAAGCCCUGGGCUCAACCUGGGAACUGCAUUUGAAACUGGCGGACUAGAGUUUAGUAGAGGGGAGUGGAAUUUCAGGUGUAGCGGUGAAAUGCGUAGAUAUCUGAAGGAACACCAGUGGCGAAGGCGACUCCCUGGACUAGAACUGACGCUGAGGUACGAAAGCGUGGGUAGCAAACAGGAUUAGAUACCCUGGUAGUC
rnacentral:rRNA from 1 species